UUUGCUGCGUCCAGCUUCUUUUGAAACAAAAUUUGUCUUCUGGCUGUUGCAACAACAACACACCUUUGACGUUCUAUGUUGUGUGUUGCGUUAGGUCACUGCAGUUUCCUGCGGCGGCGAUAUGGUGACCAGACGUGCUCGCCUCACUCAUGAGGCGGUACUAAAUCUGCAAUGGAAAAAGGAGGACGGGGCAAUGCGGUUGAGUCAUGCCGAGCCGAGUAGAGAUGCUACUAGCAGUGGGUUUUUAUCUUUGUUACAUUCAAGCUGAAAUCCACAAGUUUGUGUUGACAUCCUCUACUGCAGCGAGAGGAACUACAGCAAAGAUGGCAGAAAGUCGUACAUCCAAAUGACGAAACAAUGCAGGGAGUCAUAGACACAACCAGAGGAGCUUGGUCAACCUGAGCUGCACACGUCAUCCUGAGCCUGAGUUUCACUAGGAGAACAAGUAAAACACAUGAUGUAUUGACAAUUUGAGUCUUUCAUACGGUGAUGAUGAUUGGGCUGGAUGUACCCCAAGAUUUAAG